UAUUCAACUCUCGACCUACAAGGUCGAAACAACACAGACGCUCUCUCUCUCCUCUCACUUACUUUUUCUUUUCCUCCUAAACUCUGGCGAUGGAAUAAGACGUACGACAGCGAGCGAUGAGAGCGGAUUUGAAAUCAGUAACUGCUUCCUGUACCGUCCUCGCCGUUAUCUUACUGGUUUGCGGUAGCGGCGCUGUGGCGGUGGAGGAUGAGACCGAGUUCCACGGCGACUACUCGAAGCUUUCAGGUAUAAUCAUCCCCGGAUUCGCGUCGACGCAGCUGAGAGCGUGGUCGAUCCUCGACUGUCCGUACUCACCGUUGGACUUCAAUCCUCUCGACCUCGUCUGGCUAGACUCCACUAAGCUUCUCUCUGCUGUCAACUGCUGGUUUAAGUGUAUGGUGUUAGAUCCUUAUAACGAAACGGAUCAUCCCGAGUGUAAGUCACGCCCUGAUAGUGGUCUUUCAGCUAUCACUGAAUUGGAUCCAGGUUACAUUACAGGUCCUCUUUCUACUGUAUGGAAAGAGUGGCUUAAGUGGUGUGUUGAGUUUGGCAUAGAGGCUAAUGCAAUUGUCGCUGUCCCUUACGAUUGGAGAUUGUCGCCAACCAAAUUGGAAGAGCGUGACCUUUAUUUUCACAAGCUCAAGUUGACAUUUGAAACUGCUUUAAAACUACGUGGUGGUCCUUCUAUCGUGUUUGCCCAUUCUAUGGGUAAUAAUGUCUUCAGAUACUUUCUGGAAUGGCUGAGGCUAGAAAUUGCACCAAAACAUUACUUGGAGUGGCUUGAUCAGCAUAUCCAUGCCUAUUUCGCUGUUGGAGCUCCUCUUCUUGGUUCAGUUGAGGCAAUCAAAUCUACUCUCUCCGGUGUAACGUUUGGCCUUCCUGUUUCUGAGGGAACUGCUCGAUUGUUGUCCAAUUCUUUUGCUUCUUCGUUGUGGAUGAUGCCAUUUUCAAAGAAUUGCAAGGGUGAUAACACGUUCUGGACGCAUUUUUCUGGUGGUGCUGCAAAGAAAAGUAAGCAUGUGUACCACUGUACUGACGAGGAAUAUCGAUCGAAAUAUUCUGGCUGGCCGACGAAUAUCAUCAACAUUGAAAUUCCUUCCCCUAACGGCCUUGAUGCGUAUCCAUCAGUUACAGAAGCAGUUAAAGCCAACAUGACCAACAUGGAAUGUGGUCUCCCCACUCUUUUGUCUUUCACAGCUCGUGAAUUAGCAGAUGGGACUCUUUUCAAAGCAAUUAAAGAAUAUGAUCCAGAUAGCGCGAGGAUGUUACACCAGUUAAAGAAGUUGUAUCAUGAUGACCCUGUUAUGAACCCACUGACUCCUUGGGAGAGACCACCUAUAAAAAAUGUAUUUUGCAUAUAUGGUGCUCAUUUAAAGACAGAGGUUGGCUAUUACUUUGCCCCAAGUGGCAAACCUUAUCCUGAUAAUUGGAUCAUUACGGAUAUUAUUUACGAAACUGAAGGUUCCCUCGUGUCAAGGUCUGGAACUGUGGUUGAUGGGAACGCUGGGCCUAUAACUGGGGAUGAGACGGUACCCUAUCAUUCACUCUCUUGGUGCAAGAAUUGGCUCGGACCUAAAGUCAACAUAACAAUGGCUCCCCAGCCAGAACACGAUGGAAGUGAUGUACAAAUCGAACUGAAUGUUGAACAUGAGCAUGGGUCAGACAUCAUAGCGAACAUGACAAAAGCACCAAGGGUGAAGUACAUAACCUUCUUCGAAGAUUCUGAGAGUAUUCCAGGAAAGAGAACGGCAGUGUGGGAGCUUGAUAAAGCGAAUCACAGGAACAUCGUUAGAUCGCCAGUUCUUAUGAGAGAGCUAUGGCUUCAGAUGUGGCAUGACAUUCAGCCUGGCGAAAAGUCCAAAUUUGUCACCAAAGCCAAGCGGGGGCCACUUAGAGAUGCGGAUUGCUACUGGGAUUACGGGAAAGCAUGUUGUGCUUGGCAAGAAUACUGCGAAUACAGAUACAGUUUUGGGGAUGUUCACCUAGGACAAAGUUGUAGAUUGAGGAACACAUCUUCUAAUGUACUGCUCCAGUACAUAUAAGAUCAUCUCCUCGUUCAGCUAGAGUGCAGUUACUUUGAAUUUUACGGCUAAACCCGUAUUGAAAAGGAACAAAGCAUAAUUAGGUGGGAGCGUUAAAGUUGAUCAGUGGUUUGAUGGUUUGGUUGAACAUGAGUUUUGAGCUUUUCUACGAGAGCUCAUACUUUAUUUAUUUAUAUAUAUCAAAAUUAAAUGUUUAGUCAAUUGUAUGGUCCCUCUCAAAUUUCCUACCUUUUACUAAAUUGUAGACAUGCAUUAUUUUCGUGUUAUUUUUCAUUUUGUUUUUUGGUCUAAGGUUGGCAUUAUUCUUUCAGUCAGUUGGAUGAAAGGUGGCAAACUUAAUGCCUAACUAUCCAAAACCCAAACAGAUUGCAUACCCUCGCGUCUAUCAAAUCUCUGUUUAAGCGCUCUUUGUUAGCUAUGCAAUAACUAAAGUUUAUUUAUAUGAUUUUUGAGCUACCUAUAUUUAUUUGCCUGCAUUUUCCGGUUUUCAUCAUUAUGUUAAUAGAUUUUUAAUUAACAUAUAAUCAAGUUUUCUUCAAAUAGAUGUUAAACACCGAACUUUGUAACUAUAAGAGUAACAUGAUUA